CGGCGAGUGAAGCGGGAAGAGCUCAAGCUUAAAAUCUCCGUGCAAGUUUUGUGCGGCGAAUUGUAGUCUAUAGAGGCGUGGUCAGCGUGGGCGCUUGGGGCAAGUUCCUUGGAAGAGGACAGCAUGGAGGGUGAUACUCCCGUUCAUCCCUGAGUGGCUCGUGCGUACGACCCGUUUUCUUUGAGUCGCGUUGUUUGGGAAUGCAGCGCAAAGUAGGUGGUAAAUUCCAUCUAAAGCUAAAUAUUGGUGCGAGACCGAUAGCGAACAAGUACCGUGAGGGAAAGAUGAAAAGAACUUUGAAAAGAGAGUUAAAGAGUACCUGAAACUGCUGAAAGGGAACCGAAUCGUUUCCAGUGUCUAUAAUCUGUGGCAUAUUUCAUUGGCGAGCGUUUGCGUGCGUGUGCUGUGGCAGUGGCUUUUUUGGCUGCGCCUGGUGUGUGUGGUGUGAGUGUUUGCUGGUGCCCUGUGCUGCGGUGGGACGUCAAGGUCAGUUCGUAUGCUGCGGGAAAUGGCUGCCGAGGAGGUAGGGCUUACGCUCCGCGUUUGUCUGUUAUAUCUUGGUGGACGAGUCGUCGCGGUUGGGACUGAGGUGCCUACAACGUGCUUUUGAGUGGGUUUGUGUCUCCGUGUGCGCCGUGUGCGGAUAGCUUGCUAUGCGUGUGUGGUUGUGUGUGGAUUGAUGCGGGCCUUAACUUGUCGCCGUUCGGGACGUUGACGAAAAUGGAGCGAUCCGACCCGUCUUGAAACACGGAACCAA
rnacentral:rRNA from 1 species